rnacentral:rRNA from 1 species
UACGUAGGUGGCAAGCGUUGUCCGGAGUUAUUGGGCGUAAAGCGCGCGCAGGCGGUGCGGUAAGUCUCUGGUGAAAGCGCUCGGCUUAACUGGGCGAGGGCCGGGGAGACUGCCACGCUGGAGGGGAGCAAAGGCGAGUGGAAUUCCGGGUGUAGUGGUGAAAUGCGUAGAGAUCCGGAGGAACACCAGUGGCGAAGGCGGCUCGCUGGGCUCUACCUGACGCUGAGGCGCGAAAGCGUGGGGAGCGAACCGG